GAUAAUGUAGGUAAGUAAAUUGGUUAAUAUUAGAACUUUUAUACAACAUCGAUCAACAAUUUUAUUCCUUAUCGACAAAAACAAUCUCACGCACUGAUCCCUCCUUGUUUUUUUAAUUUUAAUCUGAAAUCAUGGUUGUUCCAGUUCGCAGGGGAAGAAGCAGUGGAGGACGUGUUAGGGGUUCUGAUUCAGAUUCAGAUAGUUUUUCUGACCUUCUUCGUAAUGCUGCUAUUGCCUUGGGUCUAAAGUCCGUAAAUCGUCAGUUUGUAAGUAUUAUUGAUGAAGGGAGCCCUUUUUGGUGUGAUGAUAUUUCCAUGAAAUAUAAAAAGUGCAUGAAAGAGUGUGGCGAUGAAGAUUGUCAAAAGUACCAGAAAACUUUGUCCGUGCACUGCCGUUACCUUAAUCCAACGGCCAGUGAUAUCGAGGAGGCGAAUCGGGCGUAUGACGCUUACAUGACAAAUAACAAAAAUGAAUGUGGGUUUCUUACCAUGAUGUUCGAUAAGUUUAAAGGAUGGAACGUAUUGGACAAUAUUGUAGGAGGAAAUAUUGAAAGGAAGGAAAGGUUGAAUGAUAACGGAAGGGAUUAAUUAGCAUCAUCUUAAUGUCACCGAAAAUGAGAAGCUUUUGAAAAGGGUGGACAGCCCACUGGUGAAACAGUGGGGUGGUGGAAGCGAAUUUGGGAGUGAUCACUGCUUCCAGUAUUGGGAUGCUGAGACUGGUAAAUAGGCGGUUUCCGCAUCUUGGUAUUUUAUUGAAGAUGAACUGCUAUUUGUAUAAAUUUAGUGUGGGAAGAACCACUCUGUAAAGAGUAGUAUAUUCUGAUCUUUCUUCUGGAAAACAUGGGCUUUCACCCAGUGGAAAACACCUAAAUUAACAGGUGGUUGACUAAUAUUAUUACAUUAUCCUUCUA